GACGGAGGAUGCAAGCGUUAUCCGGAAUGAUUGGGCGUAAAGCGUCCGCAGGUGGCAGUUCAAGUCUGCUGUCAAAGACCGGGGCUUAACUUCGGAAAGGCAGUGGAAACUGAACAGCUAGAGUAUGGUAGGGGCAGAGGGAAUUCCUGGUGUAGCGGUGAAAUGCGCAGAUAUCAGGAGGAACACCAAUGGCGAAGGCAGCACUCUGGGACGGUACUGACGCUGAGACGCGAAAGCGUGGGGAGCAAACAGG
rnacentral:rRNA from 1 species